GCCCACGAAAGCAAAUCAAGCAUGUUACGUUCCAUAAUGCUUGCUAAAGUCUGAACCAAAAUGUCAAAUUGUCAGAUGUAACCCACAAUAGCAGUCAUUAUUCUUGACUUCUGAUUUUAAAACUAGUUAUUCAACAAUGUGUUAUGUGAAGGUGCUGAAACAUUUAGAUGAUUUCCCAAAAUUCGUAAGAGAAACAAUGUGGCCCGCGACAAAAAUGAGUUUGAUAACCCUGUGAUACGCAGUCACUUACCCC